CGGUGCUUCCCCACCCAUCUCGGGGGCCGUUCUGGGAAUCCCCCUCUCAGACCCUCGCCAGAAAGCGAAGGAAGUCAAGGCGGAGAGAAGAACGCCGGGAAUGAAGACCCUCGUCAUUGACAGCGGGAACUGGACGCAGACCCAGAACUCCAGGAAACCGAAAGCCAGAAGGGCAGAGGAAGCGUUGUGAACACACAAGCCUGAGGCAGUCUCAGCUGCAAACUGCUGAGAACCGAUCUGCAAGCCCAGAACCUCUUGGGAGCAAAGGAAAGCACAGAGGAUUGGGGACCUGAGAGAACCUACAAUCUGGUAAUGAAGUUUCCCCCCAUCCCCUCACUUCCACAUCCUUGUGGGGCCGCCUGGUGCAGAGAACCUAAAGGUUUGGGGGAA